rnacentral:rRNA from 1 species
AUGAUUAAAGGAGAAGAUUGUUCUUUUACCAAACAUAUGCAGAUAAAAUCACGUCUUAUAAUAAGAAGAAAUCUUUCUCGAUAUCAAUCCCCUUGCCCCUCAUUCUUUAAGAAUCACAAGGAUCCUUUUCGAGUUUCAGUUUCUUCAUUUGGAAUCUGGCUCUUCUAUCUUCAACUUAUUUUUUUGGCUUUAUUCUUUAUUUAUUUCAUUUCGAUUUUUCCCUCUUCCUCUAUCCCUAUCCUCUAG